CGAGUGGCGGACGGGUGAGUAAUGUCUGGGAAACUGCCUGAUGGAGGGGGAUAACUACUGGAAACGGUGGCUAAUACCGCAUAACGUCGCAAGACCAAAGAGGGGGACCUUCGGGCCUCUUGCCAUCAGAUGUGCCCAGAUGGGAUUAGCUUGUUGGUGAGGUAACGGCUCACCAAGGCGACGAUCCCUAGCUGGUCUGAGAGGAUGACCAGCCACACUGGAACUGAGACACGGUCCAGACUCCUACGGGAGGCAGCAGUGGGGAAUAUUGCACAAUGGGCGCAAGCCUGAUGCAGCCAUGCCGCGUGUAUGAAGAAGGCCUUCGGGUUGUAAAGUACUUUCAGCGGGGAGGAAGGUGUUGUGGUUAAUAACCGCAGCAAUUGACGUUACCCGCAGAAGAAGCACCGGCUAACUCCGUGCCAGCAGCCGCGGUAAUACGGAGGGUGCAAGCGUUAAUCGGAAUUACUGGGCGUAAAGCGCACGCAGGCGGUCUGUCAAGUCGGAUGUGAAAUCCCCGGGCUCAACCUGGGAACUGCAUUCGAAACUGGCAGGCUUGAGUCUUGUAGAGGGGGGUAGAAUUCCAGGUGUAGCGGUGAAAUGCGUAGAGAUCUGGAGGAAUACCGGUGGCGAAGGCGGCCCCCUGGACAAAGACUGACGCUCAGGUGCGAAAGCGUGGGGAGCAAACAGGAUUAGAUACCCUGGUAGUCCACGCCGUAAACGAUGUCUACUUGGAGGUUGUGCCCUUGAGGCGUGGCUUCCGGAGCUAACGCGUUAAGUAGACCGCCUGGGGAGUACGGCCGCAAGGUUAAAACUCAAAUGAAUUGACGGGGGCCCGCACAAGCGGUGGAGCAUGUGGUUUAAUUCGAUGCAACGCGAAGAACCUUACCUGGUCUUGACAUCCACAGAAGAAUCCAGAGAUGGAUUUGUGCCUUCGGGAACUGUGAGACAGGUGCUGCAUGGCUGUCGUCAGCUCGUGUUGUGAAAUGUUGGGUUAAGUCCCGCAACGAGCGCAACCCUUAUCCUUUGUUGCCAGCGGUUAGGCCGGGAACUCAAAGGAGACUGCCAGUGAUAAACUGGAGGAAGGUGGGGAUGACGUC
rnacentral:rRNA from 1 species